UGACUUGCAUCAUUGGGGAAAGAAGGUUUUUUCCCACGGGACUGGUUUCUUGCCCACACACUGACAAGUACCGCUUCCAUUGGAAAUUUGGUUGGCUUGCCGAUCAGCUGCAUGACACACUGCAGCAAAAAAUCUUCACAACCAUCGGACAUUGCACACACACAAACCAUCAGCGACUCUUGCACUCUCUUUGUGUCGUCUUCAUCCUUAGUGAUUUGGAUGCCAGCACAGUGUUUAGUCGUUUUUUAUCUUGCUCUAUGUAAUUUUGCAUGAAAUUUUCUAAUUUUUAUUGUGAUGUGUCCCUUUCUGAGGUGGGAAAUUUAUUUCCUACAGUUUUUUGACAAAAAAAACAGCCCCAUGCUGAUAGCCUGAAGAAGCCAAUAAACAUUUGGCGAAACGCGUCGCUGGAUAGCAUAAA